ACGGGUGAGUAAUGCCUAGGAAUCUGCCUGGUAGUGGGGGACAACGCUUCGAAAGGAACGCUAAUACCGCAUACGUCCUACGGGAGAAAGCAGGGGACCUUCGGGCCUUGCGCUAUCAGAUGAGCCUAGGUCAGAUUAGCUAGUUGGUGAGGUAAUGGCUCACCAAGGCGACGAUCCGUAACUGGUCUGAGAGGAUGAUCAGUCACACUGGAACUGAGACACGGUCCAGACUCCUACGGGAGGCAGCAGUGGGGAAUAUUGGACAAUGGGCGAAAGCCUGAUCCAGCCAUGCCGCGUGUGUGAAGAAGGUCUUCGGAUUGUAAAGCACUUUAAGUUGGGAGGAAGGGUUGUAGAUUAAUACUCUGCAAUUUUGACGUUACCGACAGAAUAAGCACCGGCUAACUCUGUGCCAGCAGCCGCGGUAAUACAGAGGGUGCAAGCGUUAAUCGGAAUUACUGGGCGUAAAGCGCGCGUAGGUGGCUUGUUAAGUUGGAUGUGAAAUCCCCGGGCUCAACCUGGGAACUGCAUCCAAAACUGGCAAGCUAGAGUAUGGUAGAGGGUGGUGGAAUUUCCUGUGUAGCGGUGAAAU
rnacentral:rRNA from 1 species